rnacentral:lncRNA from 1 species
AUUUUCCUGUUGCUCCUCUGGCCACCCUCCCAAUGGAUCCGUGUGGUCCCUGGCAGGAAUGUCUUGCUUGGGGACCGAGUGAGCUCUUAGAGCCUUUCUGCUGCUUCCUCUACCCCUGUAUUUUACUCAGCUCUCUAAAUUGACUCAGUGCCAGGUCUGCUGCAGUUUGCUGGAGGUCCACUCCAGACUCUAUGUACCUGGAUAUCACCAGCGGAAGCUGCAGAAUAGCAAAGAUUGCUUCCUGGUCCUUCCUCUGGAAGCUUCAUCCCAGAGGGGCACUGGCCUGAUGUCAGCUGGAGCUCUCCUGUAUGAGAUUUUCUGUAAAUGCUGCCCACCCCCACUGCCUCUGCCUGAUGACGUCCUCUGGGUGCUUGUGUGAGAAUCAUGCAGUGACCACAUCAUCACCCACAGCUGAUGACUCAGAGUGGACCACCUAUUCAGCCCAGAGCAGGAACCCAAGCCUAUGAAGUGAAUUGUAGGAUGUGGUAUCAGCCAGUAGAGGUACUGGAG